AUUGAACGCUGGCGGCAGGCCUAACACAUGCAAGUCGAGCGAGCGGCGGACGGGUGAGUAAUGUCUGGGAACCUGCCUGAUGGAGGGGGAUAACUACUGGAAACGGUAGCUAAUACCGCAUACCAUCAGAUGUGCCCAGGUGGGAUUAGCUAGUCGGUGGGGUAAUGGCUCACCUAGGCGACGAUCCCUAGCUGGUCUGAGAGGAUUACCAGCCAAACGGGAACUGAGACACGGUCCAGACUCCUACGGGAGGCCGGAGUGGGGAAUAUUGCACAAUGGGCGCAAGCCUGAUGCAGCCAUGCCGCGUGGGUGAAGAAGGCCUUCGGGUUGUAAAGCCCUUUCAGCGAGGAGGCGUUAAUCGAAGAAGAAGCACCGGCUAACUCCGUGCCAGCAGCCGCGGUAAUAC
rnacentral:rRNA from 1 species